UACGGAGGGUGCAAGCGUUGUCCGGAAUCACUGGGCGUAAAGGGCGCGUAGGCGGCCUGGUAAGUAGGGGGUGAAAUCCUGCGGCUUAACCGCAGGGCUGCCUUCUAAACUGUCAGGCUUGAGCACGGUAGAGGCAGAUGGAAUUCCCGGUGUAGCGGUGGAAUGCGUAGAGAUCGGGAAGAACAUCGGUGGCGAAGGCGGUCUGCUGGGCCGUUGCUGACGCUGAGGCGCGACAGCGUGGGGAGCAAACAGGA
rnacentral:rRNA from 1 species